GCGGGUGUAGCUCAAUGGCAGAGCCUCAGCCUUCCAAGCUGAUGACGCGGGUUCGAUACCCGUCACCCGCUCCA
rnacentral:tRNA from 1 species